UACGUAGGUGGCAAGCGUUGUCCGGAGUUAUUGGGCGUAAAGCGCGCGCAGGCGGUGCGGUAAGUCUCUGGUGAAAGCGCUCGGCUUAACUGGGCGAGGGCCGGGGAGACUGCCACGCUGGAGGGGAGCAGAGGCGAGUGGAAUUCCGGGUGUAGUGGUGAAAUGCGUAGAGAUCAGGAGGAACACCGGUGGCGAAGGCGGGUCUCUGGGCCGUUACUGACGCUGAGGAGCGAAAGCGUGGGGAGCGAACAGG
rnacentral:rRNA from 1 species